rnacentral:rRNA from 1 species
AUGGAGGUGGGCCGAGGCACCGCCACCCUCUUCUGGUUGGACCGGUGGUGCGGUUCCUUGCCGUUCGCUUCCCGCUUCCAGGCCCUCUUCAAUAUCUGCGCCGACAAGUGUUUGACGGUGGCGUCAGCCUUGUCGAACCUCACGCAGAUAGCCUUUAGAAGGACCUUCGGUCCCGGCGAGCUGGAUAUGUGGGAGGACCUCAUAGCAUGCAUUGCCCUCCAUUCCCCAUCCGAGGAGGAGGACGUAGUCCAUUGGUACCUCGAGCCCAGUGGGCGGUUCUCAGCGAAAUCGCUAUACCAUGCGAUUAUGCCCACUCCGGGACCGAUAGAAUUGAACCUCCUUUGGGAGAUUAAGCUGCCGUUGAAGAUUAGGAUCUUCCUUUGGCAAUUAGUGCGCAGACGAAUCCCAUCCGGUACGGAGGUGCUGAAGCGUAACGGCCCCUCCGACGGGAUGUGUCCUUUGUGCUUGACCCCGGAGGACUCUAACCACAUAUUCUUCGUGUGCCCGGCGGCGAGAUUCCUCUGGGGUUGCUUUCGGGAGGUUGCAGGUGGCAGAUGGUGCCAUACCAACCUCCCCGAUAUGUUUGCGGAGGUGCUUGAGCCCAUCCAUACGGUUGGGCGGCCGGCCCUUUGGGUGGCCAUUGGUGCCCUCCUUUGGACGCUUUGGAAUAUCCGUGCUAAGCUUGUGAUUGAGCAUGUUAUUCCUUUUCGCGCGACUGAUGCAGUAUACAAACUCUAUGGUUUUCUACAGCUAUGGCAACCGCUUAGUCGGCGCCAGGAUCGGGUCUUCAUCGAUCGGGCCAUCGCUUGGCUCCGGUCCAUCGCCGCCCGCUUGUCUGCACCGCCGCUCCCCCCUCCGCCCCCGAAGCUGGAUUAG